rnacentral:sRNA from 1 species
AAUUAAAUUAUUACUUAAAUGGGUUAAUUCAUUUAACAACUCAACCCAUAACUUAACCCAUAACUCAUUUAACCUUAAACUCAUUUGAUUAUCAGUUGAGUUGAGUUGGGUUACCCAUAUUGAUACCUCUAGGUGUGCCUAUAGGCAAUAAAAAAACAUUUGUUUCAUGUUCCGAAA